rnacentral:rRNA from 1 species
CAUGCCCUAUUCUUAUGCCCACGAGUACAAGAUGUGUGGCGCAUCCUAGGUCUAGGACAAUUGGUGGCUGAGGUAUGUACUGCACAACGUGAGGGAGGAUCAGUACUAGCUGACAUGUUUCUGUCCAAGAGCAGCCUACAGGCAACGGUGGUGGGAGUCCAACGCAAUGCACUGGUGGCAACCACUGUAUGGUAUGUGUGGUGGGAGCGUCGCCGCUACAUCCACGAGGAGUUUCUAUAGGACCUGUCCAGAUCGGCAUAGGCUAUUGCGGCUCUAGCUAAAAAUUUCACGAGAGCUAGAAAUAAGAACACAAAGAUCAGGAGGCACGGAUGGGAGAGGCCACCUGAGGGAAUAAUAAAAUUGAACGUCGACGCGGGAUUUGAGAUGGACAGCGGCUCUGGGACGUGCGAGAACAUUCCCUUUGUGGAAGAUGCGGCGACGGCAGAAGCAAGGGCUCUGAAAAAUGGGUUGUUACUUGCUAAUGAUAUGGGUUGCAACAAACUUUAUGUCGAAGCGGACUGCAUGGAAGUGAUUGAUGUUAUGCAGAACGGCGGGAACUUCCUCGGACAUGCAGCGGCAAUUUAUGAAGAAUGUACUUUCUUAGCUCGUAAUUUUAGUUUUAUUGUUUUUAAUCACUGUCCUAGAGAAGCCAAUAUGGCGGCCGAUGUGUUGGCUAGGAAUUCGGAGUCCUCUCGAACUAUUGUUUGGAAGUCGGAGCCUUUGGGUUUUCUAGUAGACGUCCUAUCAAACGAUGUAUCCUUAUUUUCACAUGAAAUAUAA